GCAACUUGAAUUUAGGAAUAGGGAGAAAUGUCUGGGGGGAUUGCUGCUCACAUCACAAUAGGCCGCUUAGAAAGGCUAUGAGUUGUUUGUCGUUCUUUUUAAAAUUAUUUUUAUGUGUAUUAGAGUUUUGCCUGCAGCUAUGCCUGUGUAAAAGUGUCAGGUCCCCUGGAGCUGGAGUUACAGACAUUGUGAACUGCCAUGUAGGUGCUGGGAAUUAAACCCCUGUCCUCUGGAAGAGCAACCAAUGCUCUUAACUGCUGAGCCAUUGCCCAGGAUGUGAGUUCUUAUGCUGCCCUGUGUCAGCAGAGGCCAGGCACUGCUAUGUGAAAACUAUCCCAGCUUUGGUAGCCUCACAUAUGGGCUUGAAAAGAUCUCAAUAGGAACCUGACCAUAAUGGCAUGUACCAGCAACUAUUAUAUAAGGAAUCCCCACGAGGUGAGCAGCCCUGACUCCCGUGGGUGACACUGUCCGUGUGAGAUGGGGAAGGAGCAGGGAGAGCCUGUAUGUGACUCUCUUGGACAUCUCUCAAGAUGAGAACAGUUGAGCAAAGGUCCGCAGCAGAGUCAGAACUCUUCCUCCAUCACCACAGUGGUCCUCAAGCUGGAGCCAGACAUCCAUCCAGGUGACCCAGCUUGGGUCACGUGCUCAGUGUCAUGUUGAGCCAACAACUGAGCCUGAAGAUUAACUUCCCAAGUCUCAGUCCCUUCCUCACCUGCUGGGGCACCUGUUUCCUGACUUGUCAUGCCCACUCUAGAGGUGUCAGGCCUGCUUUGCUUCCUCACUUCCUCCACAACCCACAAGAACACAUGGCCA